CGUUUAAAUUGAUUGAACAAUGUCUUCUCUGACUUGAGUAGAAUGAUUGACAUAAUGAAUUUGUCUGUGUUUGUUUAUACCUGACUCCUAGAGAAUCAUAUGUCUGAGAUUUAUCAGGUUUGUCUUAUUGUAACCCAUUUGUGUUAUGAAAACAGAGGAAUUUUAGUGGAGCAAUAUAGAUUAGAUGGAUUUAGAGUACAGUGUUCUCAUUGUGGAUCCUUAUUCAAAUUUCUCAUUUGGCUUACCCUUUGUAUCAUGACCUCGUUGUUUGUUACUUCUCGGUUCUUUUCUCUCUAGAAAUAUAUUGUAUGCCCUUCUCUGUCUUCUUGUUAUAAACAUAUGCCCUUGUUUGUUGAGAAUUCUCAAUGAUGACAUGUUUUCUAGAACAUGGUUAUCUUGCUUCGUCAUUACAUUGUAUUCAUAUGAUUGAUGAUGGAUUAUUAUAAAUGUAUCUACAGAAUUGAGCAUUUCUUACUGUUGAAGUACAUUAGUUCUCUUAACUUUGUAAAUAUUAUGGCGUCUUGAAAAUAUUUUCAUGUUAGUUUUAUAGUUUUAUCUUUUCUUGUUGCUAUUCUUGUUAUGUUCUGACCUUGGUUAUUGUAAUUCAGCCACAGUUGAAUGAAAGCUUAGAUGUUGUUAUCAUGUAAAAAAGCUUGUCUCAACUCAUUUUACGAGUCUUAUGAGUCUGUUUCCAAUGUUUGUGCUCAUAUCAUUUCGAGCAAAUUGCUACCUUUAACGUUUUAUGUUUUUAAAAGUUCUACGCAGGACUGAGUUGGUGAGAGUAAUAAGCAUUGGUUAGUGUCUUUAGGUGACCUGGCCUAAGAUAGUGCGUGCAAUUCAUGUUUACACUUGUGAUUCUUUGUGUAACAUUAUUCAUUUAAAUUGUAAAAUUAUGAACAUCUGAAAGCUGCA
rnacentral:lncRNA from 1 species